CCUACGGGAGGCUGCAGUGGGGAAUAUUGCACAAUGGGGGAAACCCUGAAGCAGCGACGCCGCGUGGGUGAUGGAGGGCUUCGGCAUGUAAAGCCCUAUCGGCAGAGAAGAAAAACGACGGUACCUAACUAAUAAGCCCCGGCUAACUACGUGCCACCAGCCGCGGUACUACGUAGGGGGCGAGCGUUAUCCGGAUUCACUGGGUGUAAAGGGAGCGUAGACGGCCAUGCAAGUCAGGGGUGAAAGCCCGGGGCUCAACCCCAGGACUGCCCUUGAAACUGUGAGGCUAGAGUGCGGGGGGGGCAGGCGGAAGUCGUGGUGUAGCGGUGAAAUGCGUAGAUAUCAGGAGGAACACCGAUUGCGAAGGCGGCCUGCUGGACUGUGACUGACGUUGAGGCUCGAAAGCGUGGGGAGCGAACAGGAUUAGAUACCCUUGUAGUC
rnacentral:rRNA from 1 species